UACGGAGGGGGCUAGCGUUGUUCGGAAUUACUGGGGCGUAAAAGCGCACGUAGGCGGCUUUGUAAGUUAGAGGUGAAAGCCCGGGGCUCAACUCCGGAAUUGCCUUUAAGACUGCAUCGCUAGAAUUGUGGAGAGGUAAGUGGAAUUCCGAGUGUAGAGGUGAAAUUCGUAGAUAUUCGGAAGAACACCAGUGGCGAAGGCGACUUACUGGACACAUAUUGACGCUGAGGUGCGAAAGCGUGGGGAGCAAACAGG
rnacentral:rRNA from 1 species